ACGGACGGAUCACCGUGACCCAGGGGCAAAAGGGUCUUUUUAACGUCUUUGCUGCAGUUGUCGUAUAACCUGGAAAGGACACUUUUUAUUGAAACACUUGCCGCUUCUUUGGCCGCCCUGUUUCCUUUGAACCUCCAGACACUACCACCACCGUUUAGCGUCUGCUUCUCGGUCUUGCGUUCAACUUCUUCAUCGUGUUCUGUUUCAAAUGAAGGAAGCAACAGGUUCGUGUGUUGGCUCAUCGUGUUGCCUUUUUGGACAAAGUUUCAAAAUAAGAUGAGGAAUUUUAUGAAGUUAUGAUACUGAAGUUAAAUGCUUCAUAUAUAUAUAGGAAAAUUGGCAGGUUCUUGUGUUGGCUCAUCGUGUUCUUUUUUUUUGGCUCAUCGUGUUCCUUUUUUACCCUAUGUGUAAAGCUAACGUAGUUACGUACGUAUACGUGGGUUGCGGUUACGUAUAUUGAGGGAAACAAAUAAAGUGGGACGAUGUCAUAUUUUUAGAGAAAUUGGCAUGAUGACUAAGCGACUAAGUAACUAACAAAAAUAUUAUAUUCAGCUAAUAAUCAAUUAUAGAAUUUGGCUAGCAAAUAGUGUGUAUCAAAUAUUAGGAUGUAGUAAAUGUUUGCUGUCAAAAAAAAAAAAAAAAAAUAUAUUUUUUUGUUUUGGAUAGGUCCCCAGAAUUUCAGGUCCGGCUCUGUUCAUUGCACAUGUUUUUUUGGUGUAUUCUAAUAUAAAACUGAGAGUACAAACCUGUAGAAUUGUCGAUGGAUCUGGACUUAUGUUAAGAAGGUCCUUGAUGGAUUCAACGACCUUAAUGACAAAAAGAUAUGGUUACAUGUUUAAACUGUCACAUAUCUACAACGUUUAUUAUAUCACGUCCAAGAGGAAGAUAUAUUAACUAAGUAUCAAAGUAUGAUCCAAAACUAAAAACCCUACCCCAGUGGUUUUGAAAACAUUAUUUGGAUCAUGCAUCGCCAUCCAACCUAUUCUCCAGCCAGGGACGAGCCACCCCUUGGAAACGGAUCCGAGUGUAACCACAGGAACAAUCGAUGCGAAUAUCCCCAUCGGGACAAAUGGAUUCUCUCCAUAUAUUGUGUGCUUAUAAACUUCAUCAGAAAUAACCAUUAUCCCUAGCUUCUUCGCCAUCUCAGCAACCUAUACUCAGGACAACUCAAAUAUUAUUAGGGGUUCUUGGGUAACUUUCUAUAAUUAACUUUUCAAAAAAUUUAUAAAAACAAAUCUGAAAUUUUAAAAUAAUUAUCAGAUAUUGUUUUGAACAAAGACAUGUAAUAUAAUAACUGGUAACAGAAUGUGGUUAAAAUCUAAAUCUGAUAUAAUAUUUUUUUGGGUCAAAUCUGAUAUAAUAUAUGUUGUAAGAAAUAAGGGGUUUAAAAUGAUUGUACUUAAUUAGAGUUGGACCCGGGGAGGUCCAUAUGUGUUGGCUCUCAUAGUAAGCCGACCUCUAUACAUCAACAAAUGUAACAUAAAUAAGAGUGAAAUUGGCAAAUUUUGGUUCGCCAAAUGGGCAGUUGACAAAGAAAAAGAGUGAAGUUAAAAAGAAUAUUAACUUAAAGGUAUUUCACCUUCUUUAGAUGCUGAUAUGUGUACACAUUUCCACAUGGGUUGUGAGGGUUAGCUAUCACCAUAGCGAUUGUGUUAUCAUCUGCAAUGGCUUCAAUGCCUUGGAGAUCGAUCUCCCAGUCUUGGUCAGGGAGGAGAUCAUACUUGCGAAUCUCGACUUGGCUAUAUAUAGCGUGACUAUAGUAGAGAGGAUAGAUAAGACUGGGGAGCAAGAUAUUCGACUUGGGACAGGACAGAACAUGAAUUAUGGUCUCUAUCCCUUGGCAACACCCGACCGUAAUAAAUAUAUCGUCUGAUUUUAAUUCAUGCGGAAGGUCCCGGUUCAAAUAAUUUGCCACCGCCCUAAAUUAAUAGGAGUAUUAAAAUAGGUGUAAAGGUUAUGUAUAGUUUCAAAAAUGUAUAGCAUGCAUAGAGUAAUACCUCAUAAAAGUGUAAUAUCUCAUAAAGUUAGGUGUAACUGUUAGCAACUAAAAGGAAUAUAUGGAAUGAUAUGAAUUAUAAUUUCUGGAAUUUAAUGGAAUGGAAUCAGCAUUCUACUUAUUCCAAAACGUUUUUGAUUUGGAAUGAUUUUUCAAAUAAUAAAUUUUUUUUUUUGGAAUGGUAUGGAAUGUUAUGGAAUGAAAUGGAAUACACAUUUCAUUUUUUAGUUGUAGCUGGUAAAUGUUUUUUGGAAUGCACAUGAAUCAAACAUUCUGGAAGUUUUUAUUCCAAAAAAAUGCAUUCCAGUUGCAGCCAUAAAGCUUUUGAAUCGUAUAUAAGACUUCAUAUAUAAUUUCAAGUCGUUCUUCAUUGACAUUUUACACUUCACACUAUUUUUCGAAUUGAUAGAUUUUCUACCACAUUAAUAUAGUUUUAAAAAUGUUUCUAUUAGCAUGUUUUCUUUGCUGUAUUACCCAACCAGCCGACCAAUAACAAGAUAACUAGAUUUCUAAGCCACUAAAGUUUUUAAAAUGAAGCAUAUGCAUAACAUAACAAUUAAUUAGUGACUACUUAAGUACCUCCUGGCCGGUAAAAUACCAACCCCGGGGGCGUAGGAGUUGGCGGCGCCAGAUCGUAGGGACUCAGAAACGGCUUCCUCAGCAUCAACGGAAGUCUUGAAGCAAGGGUAGACGGACGGAUCACCGUGACCCAGGGGCAAAAUGGUCUUUUUGACAUCUUUGCUGCAGUUCUCGAAUAACCUGGAUAGGACACUUUUUAUUGAGACACUUGCCGCUUCUUUGGCCGCCCCGUUUCCUUUGAACCUCCAGACACUACCAGCACCGUUUAGCGUCAGCUUCUCGGUCUUUCGUUCAACUUCUUUAUCUUGGUCUGUUUCAAAUAAAGGAAGCAACAGGUUCGUGUGUUGGCUCAUCGUGUUGCCUUUUUGGACAAAGUUUCAAAAUAAGAUGAG
rnacentral:lncRNA from 1 species